rnacentral:lncRNA from 15 species
AAACAGGCUUCCAUAUGUUCACAGUUCCUGAUCCAGAGGAUGAGUCUGCAUGAGGAGGGACGGAGAUUUUUCAUCAAUAGGACAAACAAUGCUGUUCAGCAUGUUCACCAAAGAGGUUAUCACUUUAUCACUGUACAAACACACAACUGUAUUUGUGAUUUGGCUGAAACUGGAUCGACUGGUUUUGCCUGGCUGCUAACUGCUAAUGUAGCUGCCGUUAGUGUGCAACUGAACGGGGCUCAGCAGCCUCCCAGUGAACACAACCUCCGAGACAGACAGAGGACAGUUUGACGACAGCGGUACCGAGGUGAUUCACAGUUUCCAGAUGGACUUGUUGCUAAAAGAAGCUAACUGCAGCUAACACUAAUGUUAGCUACCACUGACUCAGCCUGGAAUGGCAAACUGAGACAAAUGUGGUGAAAAGCCACCACUGUUCUGUAUUUCCUGUGAUCGAUCUGUCCUGUAUGACCACAGCUGGCUUUCAAAUAAAUCAUUAAGUGAGGCCUUGAGACGAAGAACCAUAUAAGUCCAUAUUUUCAAUUUUUGAAUAAUAAUUUUUUUUUAUUUGGACUGUGAACAUUAUAUUAUAUAUUUUUAAUUUUACUUGAAGAUAGACAACAAAAGCUUCCCAAUUCUAAUGAGAUAAGAUUUUUCAGUGUCAAUCUUAAAAAUAAACAGUUAGAGUAAUUUAAAUUUCUGGAAUGUGGAAGAACGGUAUAUGUCCAGUUAAUGUGGAAUAACAGUAUAAGUCCAAUUCAUCAUAUCACUUUAAACCACCGGAGAUCUGAUUCCUUUAUCUUAGUUUUAAUAUAGUAACAGAACCUCAAAGAAAAUAUUAAGCAUUUCUUUCUUUCCAUUUAUUUUGGGAUUUUUUGCUAAUGUAAAUCACAGAACAAAUACAGACAAUACAGUACGAACAAUAAACAUAUAUAUUACGAUUAAUUUUACACAAUAAACACAAUAUACCCCACCUUACCCUGAACAUGGCCUACACAUACCAUGCGACUCUUCACAUUCUAAUGUGUCAUAAAAUGCGUGGGCCUUCGCUGGCUUGUAGGCUAGCAUUGUCAUAAGGUCACGGUGCUUCUCCUUCUUGACGGGCAGAGGGUCCUCGUAAGCUCGAGCGUACGUGGUGGAGAACAAGGGAGCUGGAGGUGGUUGAUUCUUCCUCUGUUUGGUGAUGAGCCAGGUCUUCCAUCCCUCGUAGAGGCUGUGGCUCCCUUUUGUGUGGACACACCAUGGAUCAGCAGCUGAAAUCAUGAUUCGACAAGAAAUUCAAUAAAGAUUCUUCCUUCACGCACAUAUCCCCAACACUGUUAAUUUUAGAAACCCAACUCUUUAGUUUUUUUCCUGUCACUUUCAACCACAUCAUGGAUGAGAUUAGGAAGCCAGAUGGACGCUUUAGUGUUGCAUCAGGGAGCUGCCUGAAGUCCGCACAUUUCAUCUCAAUGACUUUGAAUGGAUACUGCUGCCUGGCUCCACAGAUCCUCUCGGCGACAUCGCUGGGGGUGUAGAGAGUAGAUACCUUACGCCUUUUCUCCAGCAUGGCAAAGGAACGGUCACAGGGAAGGAAGGAGUGACCAGACA